rnacentral:rRNA from 1 species
GACAGAGGGUGCAACCGCUGUUCGGAAUUACUGGGCGUAAAGCGCGUGUAGGCGGCCCUGCAAGUCGGAUGUGAAAUCCCACGGCUCAACCGUGGAAGUGCAUUCGAAACUGCAGGGCUAGAGUCCUGGAGAGGAAGGUGGAAUGCUUGGUGUAGAGGUGAAAUUCGUAGAUAUCAAGCGGAACACCGGUGGCGAAGGCGGCCUUCUGGACAGUGACUGACGCUGAGAAGCGAAAGCGUGGGGAGCGAACAGG